rnacentral:misc_RNA from 1 species
GAUGAAGAACGUAGCGAAAUGCGAUAAGUAGUGUGAAUUGCAGAAUUCAGUGAAUCAUCGAAUCUUUGAACGCACAUUGCGCCCUUUGGUAUUCCUUAGGGCAUGCCUGUUCGAGCGUCAUCUAAACCUUCAAGCCCUGCUUGGUGUUGGGUGCCUGUCCCGCCUCCGCGCGUGGACUCACCUCAAAUCCAUUGGCGGCCCCCGCGUCGGCCACGAGCGCAGCAGAAACGCGAACUCGUGAGCCCGUCCGGGCGGCUCCCAGAAGCUAACCCCCAAUUUUUGACCUCGGAUCAGGUAGGGAUACCCGCUGAACUUAAGCAUACCAUAAGCGGAGGA